rnacentral:rRNA from 1 species
UAGGGAAUCUUCCACAAUGGACGCAAGUCUGAUGGAGCAACGCCGCGUGAGUGAAGAAGGUUUUCGGAUCGUAAAGUGCUGUUGUUGGUGAAGAAGGAUAGAGGCAGUAACUGGUCUUUAUUUGACGGUAAUCAACCAGAAAGUCACGGCUAACUACGUGCCAGCAGCCGCGGUAAUACGUAGGUGGCAAGCGUUGUCCGGAUUUAUUGGGCGUAAAGCGAGCGCAGGCGGAAUGAUAAGUCUGAUGUGAAAGCCCACGGCUCAACCGUGGAACUGCAUCGGAAACUGUCAUUCUUGAGUGCAGAAGAGGAGAGUGGAAUUCCAUGUGUAGCGGUGGAAUGCGUAGAUAUAUGGAAGAACACCAGUGGCGAAGGCGGCUCUCUGGUCUGCAACUGACGCUGAGGCUCGAAAGCAUGGGUAGCGAACAGG